rnacentral:rRNA from 1 species
AACGUAGGUUCCGAGCGUUAUCCGGAUUUACUGGGCGUAAAGCGCGUUCAGGCGGUUUGGCAAGUCGGGCAUGAAAUCUCUCGGCUCAACCGGGAGAGGUCGUCCGAUACUGCUGGACUUGAGGGCAGUAGAGGGUGGUGGAAUUCCGGGUGUAGUGGUGAAAUGCGUAGAUAUCCGGAGGAACACCAGUGGCGAAAGCGGCCACCUGGACUGCACCUGACGCUGAAACGCGAAAGCUAGGGGAGCGAACGGG